UAGCUAGUUGGUAGGGUAAGGGCCUACCAAGGCGACGAUCGUUAGCUGGUCUGAGAGGAUGACCAGCCACACUGGAACUGAGACACGGUCCAGACUCCUACGGGAGGCAGCAGUGGGGAAUAUUGGACAAUGGGGGGAACCCUGAUCCAGCAAUGCCGCGUGUGUGAAGAAGGCCUGAGGGUUGUAAAGCACUUUCAGUGGGGAGGAGGGUUUAUAGGUUAAGAGCUAGUAGACUGGACGUUACCCACAGAAGAAGCACCGGCUAACUCCGUGCCAGCAGCCGCGGUAAUACGGAGGGUGCGAGCGUUAAUCGGAAUUACUGGGCGUAAAGGGUGCGUAGGUUGUUUGGUAAGUUAUCUGUGAAAUUCCUGGGCUUAACCUGGGCCGGUCAGAUAAUACUGCUGAACUCGAGUAUGGGAGAGGGUAGUGGAAUUUCCGGUGUAGCGGUGAAAUGCGUAGAGAUCGGAAGGAACACCAGUGGCGAAGGCGGCUACCUGGCCUAAUACUGACACUGAGGCACGAAAGCGUGGGGAGCAAACAGGAUUAGAUACCCUGGUAGUCCACGCUGUAAACGAUGUCAACUAGCUGUUGGAUAUAUGAAUAUAUUUAGUGGCGC
rnacentral:rRNA from 1 species